GUCCAGACUCCUACGGGAGGCAGCAGUGGGGAAUAUUGCACAAUGGGGGAAACCCUGAUGCAGCGACGCCGCGUGAGUGAAGAAGUAUUUCGGUAUGUAAAGCUCUAUCAGCAGGAAAGAAAAUGACGGUACCUGACUAAGAAGCCCCGGCUAACUACGUGCCAGCAGCCGCGGUAAUACGUAGGGGGCAAGCGUUAUCCGGAUUUACUGGGUGUAAAGGGAGCGUAGACGGCAUGGCAAGUCAGAUGUGAAAGCCCGGGGCUCAACCCCGGGACUGCAUUUGAAACUGUCAGGCUGGAGUGCAGGAGAGGUAAGUGGAAUUCCUAGUGUAGCGGUGAAAUGCGUAGAUAUUAGGAGGAACACCAGUGGCGAAGGCGGCUUACUGGACUGUAACUGACGUUGAGGCUCGAAAGCGUGGGGAGCAAACAGGAUUAGAUACCCGCGUA
rnacentral:rRNA from 1 species